ACCCUUGUGGAGGAGGACGCCGAAGGUGGGGCUAAUGACUGGGGUGAAGUCGUAACAAGGUAGCCGUACCGGAAGGUGCGGCUGGAUCACCUCCUAACAGGGAGACAACAAAAUGUAAAUAUUAAUUUUGUCACCUUAGGUCGAUCGGUAUCUCAGAUUCUUAUUUUUUAAGAAUUUCAGUUUCUAAGUUUUUUCUAGGUCACACCCAUCACUUUUUCCUGGGCCAUUAGCUCAGGUGGUUAGAGCGCACCCCUGAUAAGGGUGAGGUCCCUGGUUCAAGUCCAGGAUGGCCCAUAUCUCUAUGUUGGGGGUAUAGCUCAGUUGGUAGAGCGCCUGCUUUGCAAGCAGGAUGUCAGCGGUUCGAGUCCGCUUACCUCCACUGAAUACCACCUCUUACAUAUGUUUUAAAGAGGGAAAAUGUUUUGAGUCGUGUCCUAAUUUGCUCUGAGCGAAUCUAGCUUCCUAUUUUAUUUAAUAAAUAAGAUGCUGGACUCAUUGAAUUUUUUUCAUUGUUUUUCAGAGAACCUUGACAACUGCAUAGAUUAUUUUUGAAGACAAUAAGCAUCUUUAAUGAUGCAGAUUUAUUAUUUGUGCUUAUGCAUUAAAUAACAAUUCUAUUAAGCUGAUGCUUCAAUUAUUGAAGUUAUUGGUCAAGCUACAAAGGGCUCACGGAGGA
rnacentral:misc_RNA from 1 species